rnacentral:rRNA from 1 species
AGUGAACGCUGGCGGUAUGCCUAAUACAUGCAAGUCGAACGGCAGCACAGUAAGAGUUUGCUCCUACGGGUGGCGAGUGGCGGACGGGUGAGGAAUACAUAGGCUUCUUCUUUUUCGUGGGGGAUAACGUAGGGCAACUUAUGCUACUACAGCAUACGUCCUACGGCUGAAUGCAGGAGAUAAUCGGAGCUUGCGCGUCUGAUUGAGACGGUGUCGCAUUAGCUAGUUGGCUGGGUAAAGGCCCACCAAGGCAACGAUACGUAGCAGAUCUGAGAGGAUGAUCGGCCACACUGGAACUGAGACACGGUCCAGACUCCUACGGGAGGCAGCAGUGGGGAAUAUUGGACAAUGGGCGCAAGCCUGAUGCAGCCAUACCGCGUGGGUGAUGAAGGUCUUCGGAUUGUAAAGCCCUUUUGUCGGGGAAGAAAAGCUGCGUAAGAAUACCCCGCUAUUCUGACGGUACCCAAAGAGUAAGCACCGGCUAACUUCGUG